rnacentral:sRNA from 1 species
ACAUUGUACGUUGAGUGUAGGUGAGAAGCUGCGCUCAGGUUCGAGCCGAGCGAAGCGAGACAGCGUUGCGCUUGCCGCAACGACCCGAAGGGCGAGGGCAAAGCCCGAGUAAUCCUGCACGACCCACCA